rnacentral:rRNA from 1 species
AAUCUGUAGGAGGGUUUAAUUAUGGCCCUAAAUUUAUAAGCAAAAUGCCUCUCAUGAUCCUAAAAAGGGGCUUGAACACACUAGAAGUAAGUUCAACAUCAGCGGGGAAAGUUGGUUCAUAAAGGAGACUUUAACUCAGCUUUUUGACAAUUUCGGGGGUAAUUGAUGAAUGCCGGCAACCGCGGUUAGAUUCAGUUCGAAUAUAAAUUUAGUCGGAUUGGUUAGAGUCAAUGUAAAAGCUAUAAAACUACAAAAAUUUUAUAGGUGCAGUGUAAUGCCAACGGUUAUUUGUGGUUAUAUUCCGCAAGUUUUAGUAAGUUUCUAGCGAACCUGUGAAGUGAAACCAGGAUUAGAUACCCUGUUAUCCAUAGUUUAAAAUAAAAAUUCUUCUUAACUAAACAUCUGGUUGUCAAAGAGAAAUAAAUAGGCGGUGUCUGAGAUAGAAAACGGGGGAUCCUGGGUGUUAAAGGACAAUCCACCUACAUUUGAACCCUGCCUUAUUAAUGCGUGUGUAUGGUUGUUUACUCUAAUAUGGUAAGUGUCCGGGUAAAACUUUUGGCUGUUACUAAGGUUAACUUCAUUUUUAUUGGUUGGCUCUAUAAAAUAAGUUAACUCUAGUUUGAUGUAGUUAAUGUAGUCAGUUAUAUAUGUCUGUAGUACAGCCGCAAAAAUAAUUCAGAUUAACAUGCAGCUUAUGGCGGGGGUAAUCUGGGAUACAGUUGCAAUGUAAGCAAUAAUAUAAAAUUUGAAGUACUAAAAAGUAUAUCAAAUAAUUUAACAAAUAAGGAAAGGAAACUUUACUUUGAAGAAGGACUCGUAAGUAAGGGUUUAAAAAUAAAAUGAUUCUGAAUACAAUCAGAUGAGUACUAAUCGCCCGUCGCUCGCGAGGAAACUUGUGAAAAGUCGUAACAAGGUAGCGGUAACGGAAGUUGUUGCUAGGCUAUAAAAU